AAGUCGUAACAAGGUCUCCGUAGGUGAACCUGCGGAGGGAUCAUUAACACGUUUCCAUAACGUUUUAACUAUUGCCUACCAACCGCGUGAAUUAAUUGAAUCAAUCAAACCCGACCUGUCUAGGUGAGAAUCUGUCUGGAAUGCACGGAGUGAUGAGUGCAUAUGAUCUCGAUUUGUGCAAGCAAUUGUGCAGAUAGUUUUCAUAUGUGCGGUGUAUCCAGACUGGUAUACGCAGUGAAUAUUACAAUGUGUGUAAGCAAUUACAUGCAUUGUGGUCACUUGACUGACUAUACAAGACCU
rnacentral:misc_RNA from 1 species